CCUACGGGAGGCACCAGUGAGGAAUAUUGGUCAAUGGGCGCGAGCCUGAACCAGCCAAGUAGCGUGAAGGAUGACUGCCCUACGGGUUGUAAACUUUUUUUACAAAGGAAUAAAGUGAGGUACGUGUGUCUUAUUGUAUGUACUUUAUGAAUCAGGCUCGGCUAACUCCGUGCCAGCAGCCGCGGUUAUACGGAGGAUCUGAGCGUUAUCCGGAUUUAUUGGGUUUAAAGGGAGCGUAGAUGGGUGUUCAAGUCAGUUGUGAAAGUUUGCGGCUCAACCGUAAAAUUGCAAUUGAUACUGGCAGUCUUGAGUACAGUUGAGGUAGGCGGAAUUCGUGGUGUAGCGGUGAAAUGCGUAGAUAUCACGAAGAACACCGAUGGCGAAGGCGGCUUGCUGAACUGCCACUGACAUUGAUGCUCGAAAGUGUGGGUAUCAAACAGGAUUAGAUACCCGUGUAGUC
rnacentral:rRNA from 1 species